GCGUCCCACUUCUCAAAUUUCCCGCCAGUUCGUCUUCUUCCUAUCGGGGGAAAUCGUUUCUAAUCUCUCGUCUCUUCUUCUACUCCACUUCCACCUACUGCUUCGAACUUGACUGUGUUUUUCAAUGCUUUCUUCCUCCAAUCUCUCAUCGGUGUUGCCUCUACUGUUCGUUCAACGUUGUUCAUUUCAUUGAUUUCAGGAUCGAAAUGGUUGAUUCGCAUUUUGAAUCGAUUUUACUAGAGAAGUUACUCAUCUUCCGAUAUCAGGAUUUACUUGAGGAAUUCUCCGUCUCCAGAACUUUGAAGCAGUUUGAACGGUCAUCUGAUCUACUUGCAUCGAUUUUACUAAAGAAGUUACUUAUUUGGUCUCAAAUUUACACUAACAAUUACAAGAAGAUGUGGUGGACUAUGAAUAAGUACACAUUAGUUCUUGUUACAACUUGCUGGGAACGAACCAUGAAUUGAUACGCAGUUUAUUCUGUUCCGACAAGAAGGACCAAGCAAUAGAGGGCAAUAUUCAGGUAAGUGCUUUAUCUUUUUCUCAUGGAUUCUUUCUGAUCUAUCCUUCUCAUUUAGAAUCCUUAUCAUCACUAGUUUUACACAAUAAAUGGAAAUUCCCAGUUCUUUUUUCGUUUUCUUUUCUUCUUUCUCAUCUUUUAAAAAAAUAUUAUUUUGAUUUAUUUAUAACAAAAUUAAAAAAUUUACAUGCUUUUAAUUUAAAAUUUAAAAAACAACUGGAUACAAAUUCAAAUAUACAUUCAAAAGGAUAAAAUUGCAUAUUAUAUUAUAACGUCUUUUUUAAUAUUUUCUUAGUUCAUACUUAAUUUUAUGACUUCAUAUCAUUUCAAGUCUUCGUAUCAUUUCAAGUCGUAAGAUAUUCGGAUUACAUUUAUACAAAACAAACUACUUUUUGGCUUUGAAAAGAAUUAUUUUAAACUUCAAAUUUGUUACAAAUUAACAUUUUUUUCAAUUUAGCUUUUAGUUUACAAAGAGGAUGUCUUCUUUUGUCAUUCCAUCAAUAGCUUUUAGUUUACAAAAAAGAUACUUUCUUUUAGUUUAAGUCAAAAAUUUCCAUUGAUGGAAAAAAUGCAUGUUAAUGAUUUGCCAGUAGUGUAGUAAUAUAUGUGACACAUGGCUAAUUCUAUGGUGCCCUUGAACUUUAAUUCAAGUUUACAAAAAUGACUCCAAAACCAGAAUUGAUUUUAGUAAUUAAAGAUGUAUUUUUAAGUAAAUUUAUACAUGAUUUUAACGAUUUGAAAAUUAUUAUGAAGCAUGUACUUUGAGAAGAAUCUUUUGAACAAAUAAAAUCCUUAUAGGACGCCAUUGUAAUUUUGAAUCUAUAUUGAAAGGAGAAAUCAUUUUUGCUCGAUUAUUCCAAAUGAUAAGAAAUAAAAGAGCCAAUAUGAUUUUUUUUGAAAAAAACUACCAAUGUAAAUUGCGAAAUGUCUGGGAGGGAAUAUACACUUUUUAGCAUGUUGAGCAACAAUUUGAUGUAUAAUAUUUAUCUUUUAUAUAAAUAAUUAACCCAACUUGGGUGCAUUUCUUUGAUUUUAUUCUGAUGAAGUAUAUAUGUUUUAUUAUUUUUAGCUGCUAAUAGUUGGAAUAUUUGUAUGAUUAUAUAUCCCUGUGUAGGUGCCCUUUGGGAUUGUUUUAUGAAAGAUUCCUAACCAUUUCCUAUUUUUCUUUUUCGGGAGUGCACUCCAACACUGCUUUUAUGUUAGUUGGUCACUUACCCACAAAAAUCACAGAAUUUAGUUUUAUAAUGACAACUUUAUUCUAUAUGAGAUAAGCUUUGAAAUAAAUAUGUAUUUAAAUUUAACAUUUUCACUAAAUAAAUGUCUCUGAGUUGUACA